GUGGGGAAUAUUCCGCAAUGGACGAAAGUCUGACGGAGCAACGCCGCGUGAAGGAUGAAGGCCUUCGGGUUGUAAACUUCUUUUGGAGGGGACGAAUAAAUUGACGGUACCCUCAGAAAAAGCCACGGCUAACUACGUGCCAGCAGCCGCGGUAAUACGUAGGUGGCGAGCGUUACUCGGAAUUACUAGGCGUAAAGCGUAUGUAGGCGGUUGUAUAAGUCUAUGGUGAAAUUUCCUGGCUCAACUGGGAAGGGACAUAGAUACUGUAUGGCUUGGGUGUUGGAGGGGGAGACGGAAUUCCUGGUGUAGCGGUGAAAUGCGUAGAUAUCAGGAGGAACACCGAUGGCGAAAGCAGUCUCCUGGCCAAAUACUGACGCUGAGGUACGAAAGCUAGGGUAGCAAACAGGAUUAGAAACCCUAGUAGUCC
rnacentral:rRNA from 1 species